UCGGAUUGUAGUCUGCAACCCGACUACAUGAAGCUAGAAUCGCUAGUAAUCGCGGAUCAGAAUGCCGCGGUGAAUACGUUCCCGGGUCUUGUACACACCGCCCGUCACACCAUGGGAGUCGGAAAUGCCCGAAGUCUGUGACCCAACCUUAGGGAGGGAGCAGCCGAAGGCAGGUCGGAUGACUGGGGUGAAGUCGUAACAAGGUAAC
rnacentral:rRNA from 1 species